rnacentral:rRNA from 1 species
GUCUACGGCCAUGCCACCCUGAACAAGCCAGAUCCUGUCUGAUCUCGGAAGCUAAGUAGGGUCGGGUCCGGUUAGUACUUGGAUGGGAGACCACCUAGAAAGACCAGGUGCUGUAGGGG